rnacentral:rRNA from 1 species
AUUGAACGCUGGCGGAAUGCUUUACACAUGCAAGUCGAACGGUAGAGGGGGCAACCCCUCGAGAGUGGCGAACGGGUGAGUAAUAUAUCGGAACGUGCCCAGUCGUGGGGGAUAACGUAGCGAAAGUUACGCUAAUACCGCAUACGAUCUAAGGAUGAAAGCGGGGGAUCGCAAGACCUCGUGCGAUUGGAGCGGCCGAUAUCAGAUUAGGUAGUUGGUGGGGUAAAGGAUCACCAAGCCAACGAUCUGUAGCUGGUCUGAGAGGAAGACCAGCCACACUGGAACAGAGACACGGUCCAGACUCCUACGGGAGGCAGCAGUGGGGAAUUUUGGACAAUGGACGCAAGUCUGAUCCAGCCAUUCCGCGUGCAGGAUGAAGGCCCUCGGGUUGUAAACUGCUUUUGUACGGAACGAAAAGGUCUCUCUUAAUACGGGGGGCUCAUGACGGUACCGUAAGAAUAAGCACCGGCUAACUACGUGCCAGCCGCCGCAGUAA